UUUAGAUCAGGCUUCCCCAAACUCCGGCCCUCCAGAUGUUGCUGAACUACAAUUUCCAUAAUUCUCAGCCUAUCUAUUUAAUUCAAAGAAUCAUGAGAGUUGGAGUUCAGCAAUAUCUGGAGGGCCGGAGUUUAGAGAAGCCUGCUUUAGA